rnacentral:tRNA from 1 species
UCCCUGGUGGCUCAGAUGGUAAAGAAUCUGCCUGCAAUGCAGGAGAGCCAGGUUCAAUCCCUGGGUUGGGAA